CAAAACAACUCCAAUUCCAGUCCU
rnacentral:siRNA from 1 species